rnacentral:rRNA from 1 species
GGUUUUUUUAAGUCUGAUGUGAAAGCCCUCGGCUUAACCGAGGAAGCGCAUCGGAAACUGGGAAACUUGAGUGCAGAAGAGGACAGUGGAACUCCAUGUGUAGCGGUGAAAUGCGUAGAUAUAUGGAAGAACACCAGUGGCGAAGGCGGCUGUCUGGUCUGUAACUGACGCUGAGGCUCGAAAGCAUGGGUAGCGAACAGGAUUAGAUACCCUGGUAGUCCAUGCCGUAAACGAUGAAUGCUAGGUGUUGGAGGGUUUCCGCCCUUCAGUGCCGCAGCUAACGCAUUAAGCAUUCCGCCUGGGGAGUACGACCGCAAGGUUGAAACUCAAAGGAAUUGACGGGGGCCCGCACAAGCGGUGGAGCAUGUGGUUUAAUUCGAAGCAACGCGAAGAACCUUACCAGGUCUUGACAUCUUUUGAUCACCUGAGAGAUCAGGUUUCCCCUUCGGGGGCAAAAUGACAGGUGGUGCAUGGUUGUCGUCAGCUCGUGUCGUGAGAUGUUGGGUUAAGUCCCGCAACGAGCGCAACCCUUAUGACUAGUUGCCAGCAUUUAGUUGGGCACUCUAGUAAGACUGCCGGUGACAAACCGGAGGAAGGUGGGGAUGACGUCAAAUCAUCAUGCCCCUUAUGACCUGGGCUACACACGUGCUACAAUGGAUGGUACAACGAGUUGCGAGACCGCGAGGUCAAGCUAAUCUCUUAAAGCCAUUCUCAGUUCGGACUGUAGGCUGCAACUCGCCUACACGAAGUCGGAAUCGCUAGUAAUCGCGGAUCAGCACGCCGCGGUGAAUACGUUCCCGGGCCUUGUACACACCGCCCGUCACACCAUGAGAGUUUGUAACACCCGAAGCCGGUGGCGUAACCCUUUAGGAGCGAGCCGUCUAAGGUGACAACGAUGCA